UGGACAACACCGCGUGAACUGGGGCGUGUCGAGCGAUGCAGUUUUCGACGAAGAACGAACGGUUCGCACCGCUGCGAGGCGUCGGUAUACCGACGAUGACCAGCCGCGGAGUCACGCGACGAAUGAGGUCAUACCAAAAACCUUACAGCCAAACCAUAGACAAAUAUGACGAAAAUUAUACAGAAUUAUAGAUGAUUUUGAACACAACACAUGAUGAUAAAGCUGCAGGCAAUAAAACAGUAGAAUCAAAUUAAUAAUUAUGAGGCUACUGAUGAUACUAUUAUGAACAUUGACAAAAAGUUAACUGUUGAUGUAUAUAACAGAGUAUUUGAUACAAUAUUAUACAAAGUAUGGAAAACCGAUAUACAAAUAAUAAAGAAAUACUUAUUAAUCUAAUAUUAUUAUCACUUUUCAUUUUGAUUCAUUUGUGAAUGGACUACCUAAGAAUGCUUUUGUUAAAUUAAUUGCAAAAUUAAAACCAUAUUUUGACGAAGACAAUGAAAAUUAAAUAAAAAAUAAACUAUCUGAAGAAAGUUUUUCAAAAUCUUGGAAACACUUAAAGAAACCUGUAGAUGAUAAAUAUACUGCAGAACUGUACUUAAAUAACAGUGUUUGGAAAGAACGUCAUUCAUGAACUCACAUUCACAAGUUCAUACUUAGUGAACAAUAAGUAAACAUCACUCGUUUUUUUCAAAUUGAACGACAUUUAUAAUUUAAUAAAUUUGAACAAUUUUU